GGAAAAGUCAAAAACCUAAUAAAGCAUAAAAGCAAAGACAAACCCUUCUAUCUUCUGCAUGAUGAAUUAACUAGAAAUAGCUUUAUAUAGAGAACUUCAACAAUGCCCCCAAAACCAAGUGAGCUACCCAAGGAUAGCUAAAAGAGCACACCCGACUAUGUGGCAAAAUAGUGGGAAAAUCUAUGGGUAGUGGCGACAGACCUCCCGAGCCUGUUGAUAGCUGGUUGUCCAAGACAGAAUCUUAGUUCAACCUUAAAUUUACUUACAGAACCAUUUAAUCCUCCCAUAAAUUUAAUUGUUAGUCUAAAGAGGGACAGCUCUUUAGACCCUAGGAAAUAACCUUUUAUAGAGAAUAAAAUAUUCCACUACCAUAUUUGGCCUAAAAGCUGCCAUCAAUUAAGAAAGCACUUAGGCUCUAUACUUAAUUACUCUUAAUUCUAUUCAUUCUACUGAACUCCUAAAACACAUUGGACUAAUCUAUUACUUAAUAGAAGCAAUAAUGUUAGUAUAAGUAACAUGAAAUUAUUCUCCCCACAUAAGCUUAUCUCAGACUGAAACAACUACUGUUACUUAGCUAAUCAUUACAUACUACAGCUUAAUUUACCCAUUAACUAAACUGUUAACCCAACACAGGCAUGCAUCCAGGAAAGAUUAAAAAAAGUAAAAAGAACUUGGCAAACUUUACCCCCGCCUGUUUACCAAUAACAUCACCUCUAGCUUUAUCAAUAUUAGAGGCACUGCCCACCCAGUGACACAUGUUUAACAGCCACGGUACCCUGACCAUGCAAAGGUAGCAUAAUCACUUGUUCUCUAAAUAAGGACUUUCAUGAAUGGCCUCAUGAGGGUUUAACUGUCUCUUACUUUUAAUCAGUGAAAUUGACCUAUCCGUGAAGAGGUGGAUAUACCUAAAUAAGACGAGAAGACCCUAUGGAUCUUCAAUUUGAUAAUACAAACUAAUACUUUAAAAACCCACAGGCACUAACCUACUGUCAAUGUAUUAUAAAUUUACACUGUGGUAACCUUGGAGUACAGCACAGCCCCCGAAAGACACAUACCAAGACCUCACUAGUCUAAGUAAAUCUACACUUAUUGACACAAUCACCUUAUCAACGGACUAAGUUAGCCUAGGGAUAACAGCGCAAUCCUAUUUUAGAGUCCAUAUCGACAAUAGGGUUUAUGACCUCUAUGUUGGAUGAAGACAUCCUAAUGGUGCAGCUGCUAUUAAGGGUUUGUUUGUUCAACGAUUAAAGUCUUACGUGAUCUGAGUUCAGACCGGAGAAAUCCAGGUGGGUUUCUAUCUAUUAAAUAUUUCUCCCA
rnacentral:rRNA from 1 species